UCGAACCUGCGACCGAAGCAGUCGCACGGUUCCGGACUGCGCGCCUAGAACCGCGAGACCACCGCGGCCGGCUAUGUCUAUCUGUUGUGUUUAUUAAACUUAUGGAGAAAGGCUACGAACUUAUAUACCAACCCAGUAAAGAUAAAAUACGUCUUAAAUAUAAUGGAGUUAACGAGAAAAACUGCUUUUCCAAAGGAAUGGUACGAAGACAGCUCCAAAAACACAUCUGUUAGAGGAGAGAAGUUCACUGGUUUUUACCUUACGAACAAAUGCUGCAAAGAGGAAAAUAUUUGGCCGACCGCGUUGGCCGAGCGGUUUUAGGCGCUACAGUCUGGAACAGCGCGACCGCUAAGGUCGCAGGUUCGAAUCCUGCCUCGGGAAUGGAUGUGUGUGACGUCCUUAGGUUAGUUAGGUUUAAAUAGUUAUACGUUCUAGGGUACUUAUGACCUCAGAAGCUGAGUCCCUUAGUUCUCAGAGCCAUUUGAACCAUCGUACUGGUCUGAGGCAUCGUCUUGAUGUGAACAAACAUAUUUUUCUUCCGUUAGUUUGGCAACCGGAUGUAGAUUAAGAAAGUACUCUACCACAAUCUAUACCGUCUUCCAUACUGAUGUUGCAAAAUGUUCAACACGUAUUGUUUUCUCGAAAAUUUAUUCCAGAUAAUGGUGUUUGUGAAGCCAUAGAUUUUCUUGUAAGAUUCUGAACUUACAAUACAUUAGAGUACUGGAACCUAAAUCAAGCUACAUAAUAAGGCUGAAUAGUCUAGAUCUGUAGAGUAGAAGAUGUGGAAUGAAACAAUCACAACAUCUAUAAACUCCGCCUUAUCAUUUAGACUGGACAAUGGAGCAGUUGAAUUUUCUGCAGCAGUAUCACUAUGCAUUGUACAACCCUCUUUGUGCUGAAGGCAACAUUAAUGUCGAGUGAUUUGCCCUUCUGGUAUUGUCAUUAUGUACAUCAUUAUUCAUUUUGAACUGUAAUGGAUUAUUUAUGACAAACUUCAUGAUGGAAUAAAUAUACUGUGAAGCAGUACUGGUAAUCAGAAUAUCCAACUCCUUAAGCAGACGUCUAUAAGUUGAUUAAAAUGAUUCAGAGAUAUAAAAGGAAAACAGAGGGGUUCAUGGAGUGAAGAAGCUAUGAAAAAUGCUGUCACUGAAGUAGUCAAUGGCCAAAUGGGUUAUUAUCAAGCAGCAAUGACAUUUCAGGUGCCUCAAACAACCUUGAACGUAAGUGGCCUUGAAGGAAUUUAGAGGACAAGAGCAUUGUGGUCAAAUAAUCCCAAAUAAGUAUUUGUUACUUCAACUUCUGUGCAUCCUAUAUUUGAAAAUAUAUUAUCAAUAAGA